GAAAUCUUCAAAGCAAACCUUUUGUUAAUUCAAUCGGUCUCUUGCUUUGGUAUUGGAGGUCUUUGCAGCUUCACACCUGCUCCUCUUUGUUUAUUAGCUGGAUCUCAGUGUUAUGCUUGGUUCCACUCGGCGUGAUAAGUUAUCUAUCGCUGAGGACACCGUAAAAAAGUGGCCAAGGUAAAUGCAGACGAACCGCUUCUAAUAGUCCAUUGACUUGGACAAUUAAAUUUUUAUGAUCUGAUCUCAAAUCAGGUAGGACUACCCGCUGACUUAA
rnacentral:misc_RNA from 1 species